UGGGGUAGGUGCCGUCUAGACG
rnacentral:siRNA from 1 species